AAAUAGCUCCACUUUCUCACAAGUUCAAAGGCGCAUUGCAUUGUUCAUAGGGCGUUAGUCUGACAAUAGUUCCUCUUUUGUUGACCUCGUUGCCCCGCGUCAAGAACAAAAGUUGGGGUUUCGCCAAGGUUCGCAUAGUCUAUGCAUAGUUUAAGGGCAAAGAGGGUCAUUUUACCAGUUGCAUCUCAGACUUUGUUCCGAACAGAACUUGUUGAUAAGACUGUAAGACACUUCCUCCCACUAUGGCAAAGAAAAAGGGAUUUAUGACCCCAGAAAGGAAGAAGAAGCUUAGGACACUUCUCCGAAAAAAAGCAGCUGAAGAAUUAAAAAAAGAGCAAGAACGCAAAGCCGCAGAAAGACAAAGAGUCAUUUCUGAACGAUGUGGAUCAAAAAAGGACAUUGAAAAUGCAAGCGAUGACGACUUGAAAAAAAUUGUCAAGGAAUAUUUCGAUAAAUGGUACAACUUGGAAGGAGAAAUGUUCUUUUUGCAAAGAGAGGUCAUUCUUCGAGACCUACAAAUCAACGAACUCAACAUGUCUGUGAGCGACAUGAAAGGAAAAUUCAUCAAACCUACUCUCAAAAAAGUAUCGAAAUACGAAAACAAAUUUGCAAAGCUUCAAGAAAAGGCAGCCAAAUUUGCUUUUGCCAAUCAGCUUAAAGCAAAGGACAAAUGAAGAACUUCUCUAAAGAGGUUGAUUGGUGCCACUUUAAAUCUUGCUAUGCAUUCGUUCUUCAGUUUGUAUAUUCAUGACUAAGUUUAAAAUAAAAGUUGAUGUGUGGA